UCAAUGAACCUAAGUCCUCCUUCAAUUGACACUGUAGACUUUCACACAGAAUAUAGGUGAAACAUAACAGAAUCCUCAAUUCCUCCCUCCUGCCUCUUAUAUCAUUGUUGUGGUCCAUUUCAUUUUUUAUAUAUAGUAUAAUCACCUGAUACAUUGUUACUACUAUUACUCCAAAAUUAUUUUUAUGUAUGUAUGUAUGUUCUGGGGAUUGAUCCCCAGGCCUCACCCAUACUAAGUGGCUGUUUCUCUGCCAAUGAGCAACAGCCCCAGCCCCUCAGUUAUCUUUUAGAUCAAUUAAGAUUAAGAAAAUUAUUUUGUUUUAUUUUCACUAAUUUGUAUGAUGUGCUUCCUUUCUUUGUUUCUAGCCAGUACCAUUAUCUUUCUGCAUAAAAGACUAACAUUUCUUUUUUCCUAACUCAUUUGUCAUUGUUUUAUUUGUAUAUUAAUAAAGAGAAUUUACAAUAAUGAUAAUAUGAAAUGAUGUAUCAUCCAUAGAUAAUGAGGAUAUUCAUCUAUAAUGAAGGCAUUUAAGAAUUCCCAGAGCACUCACACACACACAUCCGUAUAACUUUGGGCAUUCUCUCUUUCUUUGUAACUAUGAGAUAUACUCUUUACUCUCCACUCUUUAUCCUUUUCUCUUGGAACAUUUCUUUCUGGGAAGGUCUGCUGCAAUGAAUUCCCUCAAUUUUUGUUGUCAAAGAAAGCCUUUAUUUCUCCUUUAUUUUUGAAGAACAAUUUCUGUAACCUACAAUUCUAUAAGUUGGUGCUGUUUUCUCUUUCAAUAUUUAAAACAUUUCAUUUCAUGAUCAUCUUGUUUGCUGGUUUCUGAAAGAAGUCUGAUGAAAUUCUUAUUCCUCUGUAGGUAAGACAUUGCCUACUCCUGCUCUGGUUGACUUUAAGACUUUUUUUCAGUCUUUGCUUUUCUACAGUUUAAAUAUGAUAUGCUUAGAUUUGGACUUUUUAAUUUAUUCUGAUCAUUGUUGUCUGGAACUAUGGUUUGAUCUGAGUCAUUGAUUUUAGAAAAUUCCCAGCCAUUGUUGCUUCAAAUUUCCUUCUGAUUCUUUUGGUUUUGUUUUUACUUCU
rnacentral:lncRNA from 1 species